rnacentral:rRNA from 1 species
GACGAACGCUGGCGGCGUGCUUAACACAUGCAAGUCGAACGGAAAGGCCCUGCUUUUGUGGGGUGCUCGAGUGGCGAACGGGUGAGUAACACGUGAGUAACCUGCCCUUGACUUUGGGAUAACUUCAGGAAACUGGGGCUAAUACCGGAUAGGAGCUCCUGCUGCAUGGUGGGGGUUGGAAAGUUUCGGCGGUUGGGGAUGGACUCGCGGCUUAUCAGCUUGUUGGUGGGGUAGUGGCUUACCAAGGCUUUGACGGGUAGCCGGCCUGAGAGGGUGACCGGCCACAUUGGGACUGAGAUACGGCCCAGACUCCUACGGGAGGCAGCAGUGGGGAAUAUUGCACAAUGGGCGGAAGCCUGAUGCAGCAACGCCGCGCGCGGGAUGACGGCCUUCGGGUUGCAAACCGCUUUCGCCUGUGACGAAGCGUGAGUGACGGUAAUGGGUAAAGAAGCACCGGCUAACUACGU